rnacentral:rRNA from 1 species
UACAGAGGGUGCGAGCGUUAAUCGGAAUUACUGGGCGUAAAGCGUGCGUAGAUGGUUAUGUAAGUCGGAUGUGAAAGCCCAGGGCUCAACCUUGGAAUUGCAUUCGAGACUGCAUAGCUAGGAUACGGAAGAGGGAAGCGGAAUUUCCGGUGUAGCGGUGAAAUGCGUAGAUAUCGGAAGGAACACCAGUGGCGAAAAGCGGCUUCCUGGUCCAGCAUCGACGUUCAGGCACGAAAGCGUGGGGAGCAAACAGG